rnacentral:lncRNA from 1 species
GUCAAGCUCUUUAUCAGGAAACUAGCCAUCACAGCCGAGGGCAUGGGUUAUGCAUCACCACCAGCCUCCCUGUUACUCUUAACCCUUACCUGUGGAGGGAAGUCGUGGAGUCUCACCACUGUUCCAAGGACUACAUAUUUACCAGAUGGAGGACUUUGGAAGAUGGCUCUUAGGAGGUCUGUUGGGUCUACUGAAGGUUAUCGUCUCUUGAUUUUACGUACAGGCUUAGGUACCUCGCUGAAUCAAGGCUGAUGUUUACUUAUGCCGUUGCACUAAGAAUGGUCCAAGUACAAUGACAUGCUCUGAAGCUGUCUUCUCUCAUGGUAUGUUGAGCACAAGUCUUAAUUUUGGAAUUGAGUUUAGUAUUUUUUCAGUAUAGAACUUAUUGCAGAUAUUAUUUUGCUGCUAUAAUAUGUGAAGCUCAUUUCAGUUGUAAAACC